GACGUAGGGGGCCAGCGUUGUUCGGAAUUACUGGGUGUAAAGGGUUCGUAGGCGGUGCGGCAAGUUGGGAGUGAAAUCUCUGGGCUUAACCCAGAGGCUGCUUCCAAAACUGCUGUGCUUGAGUGUGGGAGAGGCGCGUGGAAUUGCAGGUGUAGCGGUGAAAUGCGUAGAUAUCUGCAGGAACACCCGUGGCGAAAGCGGCGCGCUGGACCACAACUGACGCUGAGGAACGCAAGCUAGGUGAGCAAACAGG
rnacentral:rRNA from 1 species